UCCACACCGUAAACGCUGUCUACUAGCUGUUUGUGAAUUUAAUUCGUGAGUAGCGAAGCUAACGCGAUAAGUAGACCGCCUGGGGAGUACGGCCGCAAGGUUAAAACUCAAAUGAAUUGACGGGGGCCCGCACAAGCGGUGGAGCAUGUGGUUUAAUUCGAUGCAACGCGAAGAACCUUACCUACACUUGACAUGCUGAGAAUUUUCUAGAGAUAGAUUAGUGCCUUCGGGAACUCAGACACAGGUGCUGCAUGGCUGUCGUCAGCUCGUGUCGUGAGAUGUUGGGUUAAGUCCCGCAACGAGCGCAACCCUUGUCCUUAUUUGCCAUCAUUCAGUUGGGCACUCUAAGGAGACUGCCGG
rnacentral:rRNA from 1 species